rnacentral:rRNA from 1 species
CACAAGCGGUGGAUGAUGUGGAUUAAUUCGAUGCAACGCGAAAACUUACCUACCCUUGACAUGUCUGGAACCUUGCUGAGAGGCGAGGGUGCCUUCGGGAGCCAGAACACAGGUGCUGCAUGGCUGUCGUCAGCUCGUGUCGUGAGAUGUUGGGUUAAGUCCCGCAACGAGCGCAACCCUUGUCAUUAGUUGCUACAUUCAGUUGGGCACUCUAAUGAGACUGCCGGUGACAAACCGGAGGAAGGUGGGGAUGACGUCAAGUCCUCAUGGCCCUUAUAGGUGGGGCUACACACGUCAUACAAUGGAUGGUACAAAGGGUCGCCAACCCGCGAGGGGGAGCCAAUCCCAUAAAGCCAUUCGUAGUCCGGAUCGCAGUCUGCAACUCGACUGCGUGAAGUCGGAAUCGCUAGUAAUCGUGGAUCAGAAUGUCACGGUGAAUACGUUCCCGGGUCUU